rnacentral:rRNA from 1 species
CAGGCUGCAACUCGCCUGCACGAAGUCGGAAUUGCUAGUAAUCGUAGGUCAGCAUACUACGGUGAAUACGUUCCCGGGCCUUGUACACACCGCCCGUCAAACCAUGAGAGUUGGCAACACCCGAAGUCGGUAGUCUAACCGCAAGGAGGACGCCGCCGAAGGUGGGGUUGAUGAUUAGGGUUAAGUCGUAACAAGGUAGC